AACAAACGCUGGCGGCGCGCCUAAUACAUGCAAGUCGAACGGGGUAGCAAUACCUAGUGGCGCACGGGUGAGGAACGCGUGGAUAAUCUGCCUUAGAGUGGGGGAUAACUAGUCGAAAGAUUAGCUAAUACCGCAUAAGACCACAGGAGCUGCGGCUCUAGGGGUCAAAGGUUUUUCGCUCUAAGAUGAGUCCGCGUAAGAUUAGCUAGUUGGUGAGGUAACGGCUCACCAAGGCGACGAUCUUUAACUGGUCUGAGAGGAUGAUCAGUCACACUGGAACUGAGACACGGUCCAGACUCCUACGGGAGGCAGCAGUAGGGAAUAUUGCACAAUGGAGGAAACUCUGAUGCAGCGACGCCGCGUGAGUGGUGAGGGCCUUCGGGUCGUAAAGCUCUGUCGCAGGGGAAUAACACAAUGAAUGUACCCUGUAAGAAAGGAUCGGCUAACUUCGUGCCAGCCGCCGCGGUAAAAC
rnacentral:rRNA from 1 species